GCCCAGACUUGUACAGCAGGCAAAGUGUUUGAAAAUCAAAGGAAAAGAAGAUAUUGACUUGGAUAAUCUCUUCAGAGCAAUUCUGGGUGUUUUUGUCUUCGGGAACACAGUAGGAGAUCUGUUUAUCUUCCAGAGAAAGGAAAAUGAGUGAGUUUUCUGCUGAUUUCGCCAGAAGUGCAGCAAAUUAGCCCAGUUUGGUAGCACAGCACUUCAUUUUCAAUACAAUUGCCCAUUUGACUUGUCUUAAAAGAGUGUGCUUGGCAGUCACCGAACAGAGGGCUGUGCAGUCUGUGACCAACACUGGACUGCCCUCUUCCAUCAGGGACAGAGUGUUUGGAGGAAGCUUCAUUUCAUUUCAGCUAAAAAUGUGAGGACCUUUUCCUCCGACAGUGGAGGGCAGUUGAGUUACUUUGGUUUCGUUGUGCAUCUACAUGUUUCUCCCUCAUCGGAAGAAUUUCUGUGUAAUAUAGCCUGCGCUAAAGCUUGCUGUAAACAAAAUAAAUGAUAUUUUAGAAAUGGCUC